rnacentral:rRNA from 1 species
AUUGAACGCUGGCGGCAGGCCUAACACAUGCAAGUCGAGCGGAGCGGCGGACGGGUGCGUAAUGGCUAGGAAUCGGCCUGGUCGUGGGGGAUGAGGUCAGGAAACGGGCGCUGAUACUGCAUACUAUCAGUAUAGGCUAGUUCGGAUUAGCUAGUUGGGGGGGUAAAGGCCUACCAAGGCGACGAUCCGUAACUGGUCUGAGAGGAUGAUCAGCCACACUGGAACUGAGACACGGGCCAGACUCCUACGGGAGGCAGCAGUGGGGAAUAUUGGACAAUGGGCGAAAGCCUGAUCCAGCCAUGCCGCGUGUGUGAAGAAGGCCUUCGGAUUGUAAAGCACUUUAAGUUGGGAGGCGUUACCAACAGAAUAAGCACCGGCUAACUUCGUGCCAGCAGCCGCGGUAAUUC